rnacentral:rRNA from 1 species
GAGUACGGCCGCAAGGCUGAAACUUAAAGGAAUUGGCGGGGGAGCACUACAACGGGUGGAGCCUGCGGUUUAAUUGGACUCAACGCCGGAAAACUCACCGGGGGCGACAGCAAUAUGUAGGUCAGGUUAAAGGUCUUACCUGAAUCGCUGAGAGGAGGUGCAUGGCCGUCGUCAGUUCGUACUGUGAAGCGUCCUGUUAAGUCAGGCAACGAGCAAGACCCGUGCCCACUGUUACCAGCAUAUCCUUUAUGGAUGAUGGGGACUCUGUGGGGACCGCUGCUGCUAAAGCAGAGGAAGGUGCGGGCUACGGUAGGUCAGUAUGCCCCGAAUCUCCCGGGCUACACGCGGGCUACAAUGGUUGGGACAAUGGGUAUCUACUCCGAAAGGAGUUGGCAAUCUCUUAAACCCAAUCGUAGUUCGAAUUGAGGGCUGUAACUCGCCCUCAUGAAGCUGGAAUCCGUAGCAAUCGCGUUUCAACAUAGCGCGGUGAAUCUGUCCCUGCUCCUUGCACACACCGCCCGUCAAACCAUCCGAGUGAGGUAUGGGUGAGGGCACGAACUUAGUGUCGUGCUCGAACCUAAAUUUCGCAAGGAGGGUUAAGUCGUAACAAGGUAGCCGUAGGGGAAUCUGCGGCUGGAUCACCUCCU